rnacentral:tRNA from 1 species
GGCUCUGUGGCUUAGUUGGUUAAAGCGCCUGUCUAGUAAGCAGGAGAUCACGAGUUCGAAUCUCGCCGGUGCCU